AAAUUUAUAGUAAAAGGAAAAUCCGUUGAUUUAAAAAAUCGUGAGGGUUCAAGUC
rnacentral:tRNA from 2 species